rnacentral:misc_RNA from 1 species
GAUGAAGAACGUAGCGAAAUGCGAUACGUAAUGUGAAUUGCAGAAUUCAGUGAAUCAUCGAAUCUUUGAACGCAUAUUGCGCUCUCUGGUAUUCCGGAGAGCAUGCUUGUUUGAGUAUCAGUAAACACCUCAACUCCCUUUUCUUUUUUGAAAUUGGAGCUGGACUUGAGUGAUCCCAACGCUUUCUUCCAAGAAAGUGGCGGGUUGCUUGAAAUGCAGGUGCAGCUGAACUUUUCUCUGAGCUAUAAGCAUAUCUAUUUAGUCUGCCUAAAAAACAGAUUAUUACCUUUGCUGCAGCUACCAUAAAGGAGACUAGUUCUUGUGCUGACUGAUGCAGGAUUCACAGAGACAGCUUCGGCUGACUUUGUAAACUCGAUCUCAAAUCAAGUAAGACUACCCGCUGAACUUAAGCAUAUCAAUAAGCGGAGGA